CCUACGGGAGGCAGCAGUGGGGAAUAUUGCACAAUGGGGGAAACCCUGAUGCAGCGACGCCGCGUGAGUGAAGAAGUCUUUCGGUAUGUAAAGCUCUAUCAGCAGGGAAGAAAAUGACGGUACCUGACCAAGAAGCCCCGGCUAACUACGUGCCAGCAGCCGCGGUAAUACGUAGGGGGCAAGCGUUAUCCGGAUUUACUGGGUGUAAAGGGAGCGUAGACGGCAGCACAAGUCUGGAGUGAAAUGCCGGGGCUUAACCCCGGGACUGCUUUGGAAACUGUGCAGCUGGAGUGCAGGAGAGGUAAGUGGAAUUCCUAGUGUAGCGGUGAAAUGCGUAGAUAUUAGGAGGAACACCAGUGGCGAAGGCGGCUUACUGGACUGUAACUGACGUUGAGGCUCGAAAGCGUGGGGAGCAAACAGGAUUAGAUACCCUGGUAGUC
rnacentral:rRNA from 1 species